rnacentral:tRNA from 1 species
UUAAUUGAAGCCAAAGAUUUAGAGGCUUUUCAUUGUUAAUGAAACAAUUGAUUUUUAAUAAUCCAAUUAAA